GGUUGUGUGGGGUAGUGGUUAUCCCUCCGGAUUUUGACUUGUCAUAAUAAUUUCCGGCAACCCCGGUUCGAACCCGGGCACGACCU